UGGAUCCAGACUUUGAUUCUGGCUCAGGAUAAACGCUGGCGGCGCACAUAAGACAUGCAAGUCGAACGGACUUAACUCAUUCUUUUAGUUUGAGAGCGGUUAGUGGCGGACUGGUGAGUAACACGUAAGCAACCUGCCUAUCAGAGGGGAAUAACAGUGAGAAAUCAUUGCUAAUACAGCAUAUGCUAACAGUAUCGCAUGAUACAGUUAGGAAAGGAGCAAUCCGCUGAUAGAUGGGCUUGCGUCUGAUUAGUUAGUUGGUGGGGUAACGGCCUACCAAGACUACGAUCAGUAGCCGGACUGAGAGGUUGAACGGCCACAUUGGGACAGAGAUACGGCCCAGACUCCUACGGGAGGCAGCAGUCGGGAAUAUUGCGCAAUGGAGGAAACUCUGACGCAGUGACGCCGCGUAUAGGAAGAAGGUUUUCGGAUUGUAGACUAUUGUCGUUAGGGAAGAUAAAAGACUGUACCUAAGGAGGAAGCCCCGGCUAACUAUGUGCCAGCAGCCGCGGUAAUACAUAGGGGGCAAGCGUUAUCCGGAAUUAUUGGGUGUAAAGGGUGCGUAGACGGAGAAACAAGUUGGUUGUGAAAUCCCUCGGCUCAACUGAGGAACUGCAACCAAAACUAUUUCCCUUGAGUGUCGGAGAGGAAAGUGGAAUUCCUAGUGUAGCGGUGAAAUGCGUAGAUAUUAGGAGGAACACCAGUGGCGAAGGCGACUUUCUGGACGAUAACUGACGUUGAGGCACGAAAGUGUGGGGAGCAAACAGGAUUAGAUACCCUGGUAGUCCACACUGUAAACGAUGGAUACUAGGUGUAGGGUGUAUUAAGCACUCUGUGCCGCCGCUAACGCAUUAAGUAUCCCACCUGGGGAGUACGACCGCAAGGUUGCAACUCAAAUGAAUUGACGGA
rnacentral:rRNA from 1 species